UUGAACUGAGGGCUACCAAGGAGAGGUUCCAGUCCCACCCGCCUUUGGGUUGGCGACCGCCGCUCUUGGAGCUCGUGAACAUUCGAAACAGAGCGCGGGAACGGUUUCUUCCCAAUUUACGCAUGUCAUGCAUGCUGGGGGACGCCCGUGAUUCUUACUGUGACUAAAAAAGUGCGGCCAAAGCAGUCGUUCGACAUGAAUUAGAAAGCAUGGGAUAACAAAGGAGCAACCUACGGUACUACCGUUUUGGCUUUUGUUGGUUUUAAAGGUCUGUGGGAGAUUAUGGAUUCGCAUGACCGGCGGUCGGGGUUCGUCCCCACGCUUUCGUCGUAGUUGGGCUUGCUCACUGCGGCGACUUGCGGCGUCCAGGAAUGAAGGAGGGUUGUUCGGGGGAGAACGUACUUGAGC
rnacentral:rRNA from 1 species